GUGACUGCGUACCUUUUGUAUAAUGGGUCAGCGACUUAUAUUCUGUAGCAAGGUUAACCGAAUAGGGGAGCCGGAGGGAAACCGAGUCUUAAUUGGGCGUUAAGUUGCAGGGUAUAGACCCGAAACCCGGUGAUCUAGCCAUGGGCAGGUUGAAGGUUGGGUAACACUAACUGGAGGACCGAACCGACUAAUGUUGAAAAAUUAGCGGAUGACCUGUGGCUGGGGGUGAAAGGCCAAUCAAACCGGGAGAUAGCUGGUUCUCCCCGAAAGCUAUUUAGGUAGCGCCUCGUGAAUUCAUCUCCGGGGGUAGAGCACUGUUUCGGCUAGGGGGCCAUCCCGGCUUACCAACCCGAUGCAAACUGCGAAUACCGGAGAAUGUUAUCACGGGAGACACACGGCGGGUGCUAACGUCCGUCGUGAAGAGGGAAACAACCCAGACCGCCAGCUAAGGUCCCAAAGUCAUGGUUAAGUGGGAAACGAUGUGGGAAGGCCCAGACAGCCAGGAUGUUGGCUUAGAAGCAGCCAUCAUUUAAAGAAAGCGUAAUAGCUCACUGGUCGAGUCGGCCUGCGCGGAAGAUGUAACGGGGCUAAACCAUGCACCGAAGCUGCGGCAGCGACGCUUAUGCGUUGUUGGGUAGGGGAGCGUUCUGUAAGCCUGUGAAGGUGUGUCGUGAGGCAUGCUGGAGGUAUCAGAAGUGCGAAUGCUGACAUAAGUAACGAUAAAGCGGGUGAAAAGCCCGCUCGCCGGAAGACCAAGGGUUCCUGUCCAACGUUAAUCGGGGCAGGGUGAGUCGACCCCUAAGGCGAGGCCGAAAGGCGUAGUCGAUGGGAAACGGGUUAAUAUUCCCGUACUUGGUGUUACUGCGAAGGGGGGACGGAGAAGGCUAUGUUGGCCGGGCGACGGUUGUCCCGGUUUAAGCGUGUAGGUGUGUGUUCCAGGUAAAUCCGGUUCACUUUAACACUGAGGCGUGAUGACGAGGCACUACGGUGCUGAAGUAACAAAUGCCCUGCUUCCAGGAAAAGCCUCUAAGCAUCAGGUAACAUCAAAUCGUACCCCAAACCGACACAGGUGGUCAGGUAGAGAAUACCAAGGCGCUUGAGAGAACUCGGGUGAAGGAACUAGGCAAAAUGGUGCCGUAACUUCGGGAGAAGGCACGCUGACACGUAGGUGAAGUGAUUUACUCAUGGAGCUGAAGUCAGUCGAAGAUACCAGCUGGCUGCAACUGUUUAUUAAAAACACAGCACUGUGCAAACACGAAAGUGGACGUAUACGGUGUGACGCCUGCCCGGUGCCGGAAGGUUAAUUGAUGGGGUCAGCGCAAGCGAAGCUCCUGAUCGAAGCCCCGGUAAACGGCGGCCGUAACUAUAACGGUCCUAAGGUAGCGAAAUUCCUUGUCGGGUAAGUUCCGACCUGCACGAAUGGCGUAAUGAUGGCCAGGCUGUCUCCACCCGAGACUCAGUGAAAUUGAACUCGCUGUGAAGAUGCAGUGUACCCGCGGCAAGACGGAAAGACCCCGUGAACCUUUACUAUAGCUUGACACUGAACAUUGAGCCUUGAUGUGUAGGAUAGGUGGGAGGCUUUGAAGUGUGGACGCCAGUCUGCAUGGAGCCGACCUUGAAAUACCACCCUUUAAUGUUUGAUGUUCUAACGUGGACCCGUGAUCCGGGUUGCGGACAGUGUCUGGUGGGUAGUUUGACUGGGGCGGUCUCCUCCUAAAGAGUAACGGAGGAGCACGAAGGUUGGCUAAUCCUGGUCGGACAUCAGGAGGUUAGUGCAAUGGCAUAAGCCAGCUUGACUGCGAGCGUGACGGCGCGAGCAGGUGCGAAAGCAGGUCAUAGUGAUCCGGUGGUUCUGAAUGGAAGGGCCAUCGCUCAACGGAUAAAAGGUACUCCGGGGAUAACAGGCUGAUACCGCCCAAGAGUUCAUAUCGACGGCGGUGUUUGGCACCUCGAUGUCGGCUCAUCACAUCCUGGGGCUGAAGUAGGUCCCAAGGGUAUGGCUGUUCGCCAUUUAAAGUGGUACGCGAGCUGGGUUUAGAACGUCGUGAGACAGUUCGGUCCCUAUCUGCCGUGGGCGCUGGAGAACUGAGGGGGGCUGCUCCUAGUACGAGAGGACCGGAGUGGACGCAUCACUGGUGUUCGGGUUGUCAUGCCAAUGGCACUGCCCGGUAGCUAAAUGCGGAAGAGAUAAGUGCUGAAAGCAUCUAAGCACGAAACUUGCCCCGAGAUGAGUUCUCCCUGAGACUUAAAGUCUCCUGAAGGAACGUUGAAGACGACGACGUUGAUAGGCCGGGUGUGUAAGCGCAGCGAUGCGUUGAGCUAACCGGUACUAAUGAACCGUGAGGCUUAACCUUACAACGCCGAAG
rnacentral:rRNA from 1 species